CGACGCUUAUGCGUUGUUGGGUAGGGGAGCGUUCUGUAAGCCUGUGAAGGUGGCCUGUGAGGGUUGCUGGAGGUAUCAGAAGUGCGAAUGCUGACAUAAGUAACGAUAAAGCGGGUGAAAAGCCCGCUCGCCGGAAGACCAAGGGUUCCUGUCCAACGUUAAUCGGGGCAGGGUGAGUCGACCCCUAAGGCGAGGCCGAAAGGCGUAGUCGAUGGGAAACGGGUUAAUAUUCCCGUACUUGGUGUUACUGCGAAGGGGGGACGGAGAAGGCUAUGUUGGCCGGGCGACGGUUGUCCCGGUUUAAGCGUGUAGGUGUGUGUUCCAGGUAAAUCCGGUUCACUUUAACACUGAGGCGUGAUGACGAGGCACUACGGUGCUGAAGUAACAAAUGCCCUGCUUCCAGGAAAAGCCUCUAAGCAUCAGGUAACAUCAAAUCGUACCCCAAACCGACACAGGUGGUCAGGUAGAGAAUACCAAGGCGCUUGAGAGAACUCGGGUGAAGGAACUAGGCAAAAUGGUGCCGUAACUUCGGGAGAAGGCACGCUGACACGUAGGUGAAGUGAUUUACUCAUGGAGCUGAAGUCAGUCGAAGA
rnacentral:rRNA from 1 species